AUUGAACGCUGGCGGCAUGCUUUACACAUGCAAGUCGAACGGUAACAGGGAGCUUGCUCCGCUGACGAGUGGCGAACGGGUGAGUAAUGCGUCGGAACGUGCCGAGUAGUGGGGGAUAACGCAUCGAAAGGUGUGCUAAUACCGCAUACGAACUGAGGUUGAAAGUGGGGGACCUUCGGGCCUCACGCUAUUCGAGCGGCCGACGUCUGAUUAGCUCGUUGGUGAGGUAAAGGCUCACCAAGGCGACGAUCAGUAGCGGGGCUGAGAGGAUGGGCCGCCACACUGGGACUGAGACACGGCCCAGACUCCGACGGGAGGCAGCAGAGGGGAAUUUUGGACAAUGGGCGCAAGCCUGAUCCAGCCAUGCCGCGUGUCUGAAGAAGGCCUUCGGGUUGUAAAGGACUUUUGUCCGGGAGCAAAUGCUGGUGGCUAACAUCCACCGGAGCUGAGAGUACCGGAAGAAUAAGCACCGGCUAACUACGUGCCAGCCGCCGCAGUAACAC
rnacentral:rRNA from 1 species